CUCUCCGCGCGCACUUCAGCGGCGCUCCCGACCGCACCCCCAGGAGGGACGACCCGGGACGCCCCCUGCCCGCCCCCUGCCGUCCCAGCCCAGGCCACACGCGCCCGAGAUGAAGCCUGCUUCCCAUACCCUAGCUUCGCCAGCGACAGGGUCCGGGCUCGCUGUCCCCGCAGCCUCUCCCGGCCCUCAGAUUUGAGGCCACUUCCACCGACAAGGGGCCGCUGGCCCACACUGCCUCCGGUUCAGGACCUCCCCGCACCUGGCCUGGCCCCAGGGAGGUCUGCAAGCCCAACCGCGAACUGCAACUACGGCCUGGAAGACAUGUCCCACCAAGGGGUUACAUGUGGCCCUUCAUGGGUUUUUUAUUUUUUUGGCCGUCGCCCACCGCACGUGGAGAUUCCUGGGACAGGGAUGGGCCAGGGAUCGAACCUGCGCCAAAGCAGCAACCAGGGCUUCUGUGGCAGCAAUGCAGGAUCCUUAACCAGCUGUGCCAUAAGGAACCCUUACACGUUGGUCCUUUGGAAAACAAAGCUGGGUGGUUUGGAGCUCUUUCUCGUCAUGGCGUCUUGGAGCAUGACAUUGCCACCUUCUCCAUCCACCAGCAUCCAGAAGGAAUUCCCACUGUGGUGCUAGAUCGGUGGCAUCGUCGCAGGACCAGGACAUGAGCUGUGGUGUAGGUAACAGACAAGGCUCGGAUCUGGCGUUGCUGUGGCUGUGGCUGCAGCCCUGAUUCCACCCCUGGCCUGGGAACUUCCAUAUGCCCUGGGUAUGGCGCUAAUAAAAUAUAAAACCGGGGGGGUGCAUCUUUCCGGUUUUUGCUUUUCUUUUCUUUCUUUUUUUUUUUUUUUGGCUGCCCCUCAGCAUAUGAAGUUCCCAGGCCCGGGAUCAGAACCAGGCCACAGUUGUGACCUAUGCUGCUGCUGUGGAAACACCAGAUCCUAUGACUGACUGUGCUGUGCAGGGAUCACACCUGCAUCCUCAUGGAUACCAGUCUGGUUCGUUUCUGCCGAUCCACAACGGGAACUCCAGAAAGAUACCCGUGUACUUCAGGAAUGCUGCACCCAUGUGUGGGUGGAAGUAGGGAAUGGAUGGGUGUCCCCAAGCUGGAGUCCCCUCCAGAAACACUCACUCUGGGCAGGGUGGGAGGCUCUGGCCGGCACACCUAGGUUGACUGGCCAGUGUGGCUGCUCCCUGAAUGGUCUCUAGGUGUCUUCCAGGUCAGAAUCUCUCCCAGGGGGGCAGUCAGGAGGGGAAACUGAGACAGGAAGGGCCCCAGGCCAGGUGGGACAGAAUCCAGAUAAUUGGAUAAUCUGAUGCCCAGCUGGGGAGACCACAGAGGGAGUGGGAGAGACCUGGACCCUCUACAGCUGGCCAAGGCACCUAUCAGGUGAGCCCUGGGCAGGCUCCCCCAUCACAUCCCUGCCCUUGGCCCUGUAUCUGUUAUUACCAGGCAAGUCUAUUUUACAAAAGGAUUCAGUUUCAAGGAUCCGCUGUUGCCCCCUGGACUGUUAGGCAUAUUCUAUCGAUAAGGGUCACUUUCUUACAACUUGUUCAUUGAGAGAGAUGCCAUUGAUUUUAUAAAGGGCAGAAUCCCUUUGUUAAGCAGAUGCCAGAUUUCCCGGGUCGCCAGCGCUCCAAGGUCUGCUGGGGAUUUCCCAGCCUUCUACUGAGCAGUGACAACCUCACAGCGCUGGGGGUGUGUGCACUCGGGAAUAAGAGGCCCUGGCUCUCACCUCACACGACUUUGAUUUUAAAUGCAAUAGCAAGGCAGUUUGUGCCCCAUCCUCCGCGCUGUUGUGGGAAGCGCGCACGCGGGGCCUUCACGGGUGGGCUCCGGGGUGCCCCACCCUCAGGGGCAGUGCUCAUUCUCCGUCCACAUGCGGAAAACCGGGGCCUUGAGGGCUAGCACCUGCCCCGUGGUCACACAACCAUCCAGCUCGGUUCUCUGACUGCCAUUCUCUGGAGGUUUGGCUGGGACAGAGUCUCGUGAUUGUCUCCAAGACCGUUCCCCCGCCGCUGGCUCU
rnacentral:lncRNA from 9 species